AUGAUCGAACUCAUGGGAGGAUUUAGCGAUCAUGAUCUGCAGAACAAGACUGUUGCUGAGGAGAACAUAUUCAAGUUUAAGGGAUACAGGGAUAUAGAAAUCCGAAAUCUUCCCAAGAGUAAAUGCAAAUUCAAAUGGGGAUACACAAGUAACUCUGGUCUGCUGGAGAUGAGUUGUAAACUCCGCUGGGGAACAGGCGCUCAGCGGGGAGAAGAAUGUAGAUUCCAUUGGGGAGACACACCUCUUGUGCUUUGUUUGUUGGAUGUUGGGGAUAGACAUCCACCAUCUGAUCACGAAUCUACAAGGGAGAAGGGAUAG